UACAGAGGGUGCGAGCGUUAAUCGGAAUUACUGGGCGUAAAGGGUGCGUAGGUGGUUACGUAAGUUAAUUGUGAAAGUCCUGGGCUUAACCUGGGGAUUGCAGUUAAUACUGCGUAGCUAGAGUGUUGUAGAGGUAAGCGGAAUUUCCGGUGUAGCGGUGAAAUGCGUAGAGACCCGGAGGAACACCGGUGGCGAAGGCGGGUCUCUGGGCCAUUACUGACGCUGAGGAGCGAAAGCGUGGGGAGCGAACAGG
rnacentral:rRNA from 1 species